CCUACGGGAGGCAGCAGUGAGGAAUAUUGGGCAAUGCUCGCAAGAGUGACCCAGCCAUGCCGCGUGCAGGAAGACGGUCCUAUGGAUUGUAAACUGCUUUUAUCGGGAAGAAACCCUCCUUCGUGAAGGAGCUUGACGGUACCGUAGAAUAAGCAUCGGCUAACUCCGUGCCAGCAGCCGCGGUAA
rnacentral:rRNA from 1 species